AGAGUCGCCUGGAUCACCGCGUUGCCGCAAGGCACCGAGGAAAGUCCGGACUUCACAGAGCAAGGUGGUGGGUAACGCCCACCCGGAGCAAUCCGCGGGAAAGUGCAACAGAAAGUAAACCGCCAAUAGCAAUAUUGGUAAGGGUGAAACGGCGGUGUAAGA
rnacentral:RNase_P_RNA from 1 species